rnacentral:misc_RNA from 1 species
GAUGAAGAACGUAGCGAAAUGCGAUAAGUAAUGUGAAUUGCAGAAUUUAGUGAAUCAUCGAAUCUUUGAACGCACAUUGCGCCCGCCAGUAUUCUGGCGGGCAUGCCUGUUCGAGCGUCAUUUCAACCAUCAAGCCCCCCGGCUUGUGUUGGGGACCUGCGGCUGCCGCAGGCCCUGAAAAGCAGUGGCGGGCUCGCUGUCACACCGAGCGUAGUAGCAUACAUCUCGCUCUGGGCGUGCUGCGGGUUCCGGCCGUUAAACCACCUUCAUAACCCAAGGUUGACCUCGGAUCAGGUAGGAAGACCCGCUGAACUUAAGCAUAUCAAUAAGCGGAGGA